GUGAGGAAUAUUGGUCAAUGGGCGAGAGCCUGAACCAACCAAGUCGCGUGAAGGAAGAAGGAUCUAUGGUUCGUAAACUUCUUUUGCAGGGGAAUAAAGUGCAGGACGUGUUCUGUUUUGUAUGUACCCUGAGAAUAAGGAUCGGCUAACUCCGUGCCAGCAGCCGCGGUAAUACGGAGGAUCCGAGCGUUAUCCGGAUUUAUUGGGUUUAAAGGGUGCGUAGGUGGUUUGAUAAGUCAGCGGUGAAAGUUUGCAGCUUAACUGUAAAAAUGCCGUUGAAACUGUCGGACUUGAGUGUAAAUGAGGUAGGCGGAAUGCGUGGUGUAACGGUGAAAUGCAUAGAUAUCACGCAGAACUCCGAUUGCGAAGGCAGCUUACUAAGCUACAACUGACACUGAAGCACGAAAGCGUGGGGAUCAAACAGGAUUAGAUACCCUUGUAGUCC
rnacentral:rRNA from 1 species